AGGUGAUCUGUGAGUAUACCUCUGUCAAGCCUCUUGUCCCACCUCUUCCAAGUGCUUAACCAUUCCGAGAGUGGGAGAGUUUAGGGGCAAACCUCUGUGGCGGUGGUGCAAGAAAUCCAUUUGGGAGGAAAUGUCUGAAGAUGGGCAAUCAAGGGCUGAAAUAGAACUUCAUGAUGCUUUCAGGAAUUCAGACUCCUUUUGUAUUUCUGCUCAAUGUGAGAAUGAUCAUUUAGCCUUCACAAGAUGGCUGCCUGAGCUUCAUCUUUCACAUCUGUCUUCAAGGCAGCAGAGAGGAAGAGAAGGGAAACCAUGACCUCUGCCCAGCAGUGUCUUCAUGUUACUUGCAAAUCAAAGCCUUCUGCAGAAAUACCUUAAAGGUUCUUGGUGCUCCACCUCUGAGAGGAAGUGGAUGGGAAGGGAGAAGUCUCUGCGAAAUUGUAACCAAAUACAACACUUCUUUGGGUUUCAGCACAAAUUCACAAUUAAAUUCUGAGUUAAAAUGUACUACCCCAAUA